GCAGCCGGCGGGAGUGAGCGCUCAGGCCGCAGCUCGCCCACAUGCCCGGCUCCUGGAGGCGGCGGAGCAGACGGGCGGACGGCUGGAUCAUGCGCAUCUCGAUGAAGUUCACCUGCACACGGCGCGCUCCGAAUUAAACGUAUGUUUUCUGGUAAAUUAAGAUAUAUGUAUACAUAAAAUAUUAUGAAGCAUGUAGUGUACCUCAGUCUUUUCGUCUAUUUUGACCAGCGGCGACGCCUCCUCGCUAACCAUCUUCUGUGCUAAAUAUUUUUGGUAAGCUUCUUCCAUCUGUAUGGCUUUUGGUCCCUCGAUCUUCUUGUAACGUCGCGAACCAAGUUUACACUGUUCCCAUAUUAUCCCAGAACUGAAUAACAAAAAUGUGGUUAAUUAAUGUCCAACACAAGCCCACGGUGAGAUAAGUAUCCGAGUUUUAUAACAAUAUUUAAUUAAUAGAAUUGUAACUCUAGAAUGACCUCUCCUUCUCAUUCCCUAUUAUUCUGUUUGUAAUAUAAAUUUUGAAUAUUAUUAUCGUACUGUUGUCUUACAAUUGAGUACUAAAUUGAUAGUAUCCAUCUGUACCCAUAUAACUUAUAUAUAAUUAAUUUGCACUCCAAAGAAUUUUAUUAAAAAAAUUAAAACCAGUAGACACGUCAUCAAGUCAUGUCAAAAGGUAAAAGAUAUCAUUCUGACCUGAGAGCUGGUUAAGAAACAUAUUUCUUUCUUAAUGCAGACCAGGGAUUCUAACCAUAAAGUCCUUAAUUCUAGCCCAUACAGCUCUUAUUAACACAAAU